rnacentral:rRNA from 1 species
CAAUAGCGUAUAUUAAAGCUGUUGCGGUUAAAAAGCUCGUAGUUGGAUUUCUGUCAAAGACAACUGGUCCGCCCUCCGGGUGAGCACAUAGUUUGGUCUUGGCAUCUUGCUGGAAGCUGUUGCUGCACUUGGCUGUGUGGCGCAGCGUCCAGCACUUUCACUUUGAGGAAAUUGGAGUGUUUCAAGCAGGCACAUGCCUUUGGACACAGUAGCAUGGAAUAAUUAGAUUGGGCUUUUGCUCCAAUUUGUCGGUUUCUGGAGCUGAGGUGAGAAUUAAUGGGGAUUGUUGGGGGCAUCCGAAUUUAGCCGUCAGAGGUGAAAUUCUUGGAUCUGCUAAAGACGGACAACUGCGAAAGCGUUUGCCCAGGAUGUUUUCAUUGA